rnacentral:rRNA from 1 species
AGCGGCGAACGGGUGAGUAAUGUAUCGGAACGUACCCAGUCGUGGGGGAUAACUAUCCGAAAGGAUAGCUAAUACCGCAUACGUCCUGAGGGAGAAAGCGGGGGACCGAAAGGCCUCGCGCGAUUGGAGCGGCCGAUAUCGGAUUAGCUAGUUGGUGAGGUAAAGGCUCACCAAGGCGACGAUCCGUAGCUGGUCUGAGAGGACGACCAGCCACACUGGAACUGAGACACGGUCCAGACUCCUACGGGAGGCAGCAGUGGGGAAUUUUGGACAAUGGGGGCAACCCUGAUCCAGCCAUUCCGCGUGAGUGAAGAAGGCCUUCGGGUUGUAAAGCUCUUUCAGCAGGAACGAAACGGUGGCUCCUAAUACGAGUUACUAAUGACGGUACCUGAAGAAGAAGCACCGGCUAACUCCGUGCCAGCAGCCGCGGUAAUACGGAGGGUGCGAGCGUUAAUCGGAAUUACUGGGCGUAAAGCGUGCGUAGGCGGUUCGUUAAGUCAGAUGUGAAAGCCCCGGGCUCAACCUGGGAACUGCAUUUGAAACUGGCGGACUAGAGUUUAGUAGAGGGGAGUGGAAUUUCAGGUGUAGCGGUGAAAUGCGUAGAUAU